CUAGAGUUUGAUCCUGGCUCAGGACGAACGCUGGCGGCGUGCUUAACACAUGCAAGUCGAACGGUGAUCUGGGUGCUUGCACCUGGUGAUCAGUGGCGAACGGGUGAGUAACACGUGAGUAACCUGCCCUUCACUCUGGGAUAACUCCGGGAAACCGGGGCUAAUACUGGAUAUGACAUCAACCCGCAUGGGUAUGGUGUGGAAAGUUUUUCGGUGGGGGAUGGACUCGCGGCCUAUCAGCUUGUUGGUGAGGUAGUGGCUCACCAAGGCGACGACGGGUAGCCGGCCUGAGAGGAUGAUCAGCCUCACUGGGACUGAGACACGGCCCAGACUCCUACGGGAGGCAGCAGUGGGGAAUAUUGGACAAUGGGCGCAAGCCUGAUCCAGCCAUGCCGCGUGGAUGAUGAAGGCCCUAGGGUUGUAAAGUCCUUUCGGCGGGGAAGAUAAUGACGGUACCCGGCCCAAUCGCC
rnacentral:rRNA from 1 species